rnacentral:rRNA from 1 species
CGUCUAUAUACGUAUAGCAUAUCAAUAAGCGGAGGAAAAGAAACUAACUAGGAUUCCCUUAGUAACGGCGAGUGAAGCGGGAAGAGCUCAAAUUUGAAAUUUUCAAGGUUUUACCUUGACGAAUUGUAGUUUAAAGAAGUGUUUUCUGUUGGUGUUUUGGUAAAAGUUCUUUGGAAUAGGACAUCAUAGAGGGUGAGAAUCCCGUAUUUGACCAUUAUCUCCAGCUUUGUGAUACACUUUCAAAGAGUCGGAUUGUUUGGGAAUGCAGUCCAAAAUGGGUGGUAAAUUUCAUCUAAAGCUAAAUAUUGGCGAGAGACCGAUAGCGAACAAGUACCGUGAGGGAAAGAUGAAAAGAACUUUGAAAAGAGAGUUAAACAGUACGUGAAAUUGUCAAAAGGGAAGCGUUUGACACCAGUGUUGUUUUCUCGAAAAUCAAUUAAAAAAGACUGGAUUUUGUGUUGUAUUGACUUUAUCAGCUUUCUGCACUCUUUUCUUGUCUUUUUUAAUGCACUUUUCGUUUAACAAGUCAACAUCAAUUUCUUUUGUUGUAAAAGGGUCAUUGGAAGGUGGCUUUCUUUUCGGAGAAAGUGUUUAUAGCCUUUGGCCUCUGCAAUCGGAGAGAUUGAGGUCUGCAGCGUAGAUCCUUCGGGGUUAGAUACAUUUGUGCUAAGUUAUAGCCUUUCAUAGACAACUUGUUGACUAUGAUCAGUCAUGUAGCUUACUCGCUUAUGCUAUUUUACCUACGCUUAGGAUGUUGACUGAUAUGUAGUCGUA